GAUGAACGCUGGCGGCGUGCUUAACACAUGCAAGUCGAACGGUAAGGCUCCUACUUUCAGUUGUUCUCUAGUGGCUAACGGGUGAGUAACACGUGGGUGAUCUGCCCUGCACUUCGGGAUAAUCCUGGGUGACUGGGUCUACUACCGGAUCGUACCAUGGUUUGGAUGCCAUUGUGGACAUUUUUUCGGGUUGGGAUGAGCUCGCGGCUUAUCAGCUUGUUGGUGGGGUAAUGUCCGACCAAGCCGGAGCAGGGUAGCCGGCCUGAGAGGGUGUACGGGCACAAGGGGACUGAGAGACGGCGCAGAGUGGUACGGGGGGCAGCAGGGGGGAAUAUUACACAAUGGGGGCAAGUCUGAUGCAGAGACGCCGGGUGGGGGAUGAAGGCCUUCGGGUUGGAAACGCAGUACGCUAGGGACGAAGCGCAAGUGACGGUACCUGGAGAAGAAGCACCGGCUAACUACGUG
rnacentral:rRNA from 1 species